rnacentral:tRNA from 1 species
GCUACAGCUCAGUGGUAGAGCUCAUUGCCUAGCAUGUGUGAGGCACUGGGUUCGAUCCUCAGAAUCGCA